UCCUCCCUGCAACCACCCACCUCCCUGCAAAAACCCAAUCGGAAUGCGACAGGGCCUGCACCCCCGCGGCUCCGCCCCCACCGCCUCUGAAAGACACACACAAACAACUAGCUUGCUGCAGAGGGGCACAAAGAACGCGCACUGCGCAGGCGCUGCCAACGGGCUCUUUGGGGAAGAGUCGGCCCCGCGAACAAUGAAGUUCCUUUUCAGCCCCACCUCCCCCACCCUUCUCCUUCGAAGCCCCCGCUCCUCGCCCUCUAGGCAGAGAUCUUCCUAAGAGGAUCAGCAGGCCCGUGCAGGUUGUGCUUUGCACAAGAGUGCCUGGCCGAAGGGGCGGGGGAACUGGAAGACAGCUCUCACUCUGCUCUUAAGGUCAUCUGACUGGAAGCUGGACCACCUGGAUGACAGAGGACCAUUGAGAGAUUUUAUCUGUUAUGAUGCAUGGACAGAGCCCACAUAAUUGCCGGUUGCUGUAUUUUUCAGUAGAGGGAAGGGGGGAAGAGAAACAUCAGUGUGUUGCUGCCUCUCGUGUGCCCCACCCCCACUGGAGAACUAGUCCACAACCCAGGUAUGUGCCCUGACUGGGCAUUGAACUGGCAACCCUUUGGUUGGCAGGCUGAUGCUCAGUCCACUGAGCCACAACAGCCAGGACCCGGUGAGAGACUUUUAAAGAUGGUUCUACGGAGUCUUCAGCAUUUCUCCCAAACAUUUUUGAAAACAUUCUUGCUUUAAAGUAUUUUUUACUUUUUAAUUGAUUUGAGAGAGAAAGAGAAACACUGAUUUGUUAUUCCACUUAUUAUUGCAUUCAUUGGUUGAUCUGUGUAUGUGCUCUGACCUGAGAUUGAACCCACAACCUUACCGUAUUGGGGUAAUGCUCUAAUCAACUCAGCUACCUAACCAGGGCAGAACAUUCUGGCUUUAUAGAAACAACAAGAUGAUCCAGAUUAUCUUGAUCUUUCUCUGACCCAAAACAUGGAAUGAGCUAUUUUAUAAGAAACCCUUGUUCCUUUAAAUGAAGAGAAAUAUUAGCGGCAAAAUCUGGGCAUCAGGGUGAAUAUCAGAACACCACAUGAGAACUUCUCUACCAAUCCAUCUUCAACAUACACAACUGAAUGUUCUGUAAUAAACAGCCCUUCUCAAAGCAGAGGUAGAGAGUUCUGGUCUCACCAUAGAUUUUUAACUCAUUUAAUUCAUUUUUGGAAUCACCUUAGAGAUUCCAGGUCCCUUUAUACAUAACCUUUAUUUUCUUUUGUUUGUUAAAACAUAGUUUUAUUUUAUUAACCAAUGUCAUCCUAAUACAUUUAAUUUAAAAUAAAAAACAACUCAUUUCACAUUAAAGCCCUUGUAUUAGUCGAUGAUUCAUGUUCAGUAUUAUUUAAACCAUUUGCAGUUGUUCAUUAAGUAAAGGAAAAUACUUAUUUACGUUCGAAAUAAAACAGGUGUGGGGGAAAAGGAACACUGCAUGAGUAUGGAUUAUAAUUAGGAUAAUAUCACUAGUAGGCCAUUUAUUGGGUAAAAUUGGAAGAUAUUUUUUUUAAAUUACCACCCAGGGAUAUGUUUAUUGACUUUAGAGAGAAAGGAAGGGUAAGAAAGACAUUGACCCAACUAGGAUCAAAACCUCGAACUAGGUAUGUGUCCUG